UACGAAGGGAGCUAGCGUUGUUCGGAAUCACUGGGCGUAAAGCGCACGUAGGCGGAUGUGUCAGUCAGGGGUGAAAUCCCGGAGCCCAACUUCGGAACUGCCUUUGAUACAGCACGUCUUGAGUCCGAUAGAGGUGGGUGGAAUUCCUAGUGUAGAGGUGAAAUUCGUAGAUAUUAGGAAGAACACCGGUGGCGAAGGCGGCCCACUGGAUCGGUACUGACGCUGAGGUGCGAAAGCGUGGGGAGCAAACAGG
rnacentral:rRNA from 1 species